GCCGGAGUAGCUUAGCUGGUAAAGCAACACUUUCGUAAAGUGGAGACCGCGAGUUCGACUCUCGCCUCCGGCU
rnacentral:tRNA from 1 species